rnacentral:misc_RNA from 1 species
UGUGGGAGCUGGCUUGCCUGCGAUGCAGGCACCUCGGUGUUUCUGAAACACCGUGGUGUCCGCAUCGCAGGCCAGCCAGCUCCCACA